rnacentral:misc_RNA from 1 species
UAUUUGGUCAAGUAAAUGACGCUAUUGAGUAUUCAGAGUGUUGUGAAUCACUUUUUGUGCUUCUUCACGGAUACAUGAGAGGUUUGUCCGUAUCCCCUUGCAGAGUCUGCCUUCAACUAGGUGAACAGGCAGCCAUAACUUAGGCUUUACAUCCACAAAAUAUGAAAGAGUUGUUUCAAAUUCUUGAGCAAGUGAGAAAUCACCGUCUUCGGGUCUUGGUUUAUCGACCUGUUCAAUAGACCACUUUCCUUCGAAAAAUUGGAAGUCACCUUCAGCCAUCUUAAAUUCAAUAUCCCGCUUUUUCCCAGA